GUCUGUUUUUUAUCAUAAUUUUAUCACUACCGAUAGUUCGAAUAAGAUUAGUAUCGUCAGUGUGGUUACGUGUUUCUUUUUUUUAUAAAACCAAAAAUUCGCAUAGGGUGAAAUUUCACCCACGGCAGCCUUUAAGGGUUAAUCACACUCAAUCACCGCGAGGAUUUGUUAUUUUCGGCCAUCCGCGCUUCUCUUUGCCUACCUUUUUCUCCCGCCGACCGCACCGGCAGCUCACCCUUCGCCCCCCUCUCUCUCUCUCGCGCGCCAUUCCUGACGAACGAGCCGCGAGUUCGGUCCAUUUGGAAAAUGAAGCCCGGUCGAGCGCGCGCGAGCGAGCGCUCCGAGAGUCUACGUCAGGAGCAGAUGAAGAAGGAGCAGGAUCAUCGGGAGCAGGAGAUAUGGGAAGUGGCUCGCGAGGGGGCGGGCGCGGAAAUGUUAAUUCGCCGUCGUACGCGUGAUCGAUGCGCAAAUAUUUGAGAAAACACACGCGGCGUCAUUUAGGCUGUCGCUCGGCCAGGUUAGGUUAGGUUAGGUUAGCGAGCAGUUUUUCCUAAAUAUCGCGCGCUCAUCGCGUAGGUGCGAUCGAGGACGACCUGUCGUCCUGUGCGACUGCUUCCCACGUAGACGUCGUCGCAUAUCCUAUCUCGCGACAACGCAGGAGCGGCGACGAUAUUUCGGCGUCCGACAGGAAUUCGCUUGGCGAUCUUCGCGACGCUCAGCUAGGGAUAAGAAUCUUGCGGGUGGCAAGAAGCGCGAGAGAGUCUCGUGGAAAAGAAGGGCGAAGGAGGAGAAACAAGGACGGCGAGCUUUGUCUCGGGGAGCGAGACUCUGUCUUCCUCUCUUCUCGGCCGUCCUUUCCUCUCCUUCCUUCUUCCACUCCAUUUCCAGGUGUUUGUACGCGCGCGGCCCUUUUAUUGGAGACGAGAGACACUCGUAAACUGCCGGAACCGAGCACUGGCCAGGAAACGCGACCUCCGGCUGCGCCGGCCGGCUGAUCUCUCGCGGGAACUGCAGCCGUUUUCGAGGUUACUCGUACGUUCCGAGAGCAAACGCGCGGCCCGGUAUUUCCUCUCGCACGCUCCUCUAACCGCUUUUCUCACCACCCUUCUGUUUUAGGUGGACAUACUCGGCUGCUGGACGAAGUAGGUCUCCGGUUGCCCGGAAGCGAAGCGUCAUCGGGAGGCCGGCACAGCAGAGUGAUUUCCAAAGGAAGACGUUAUUCGUCAACAAUGGCUUGAUGUCUUACAAAGGAAGGACAUAAAAGUUGAUACAGCAAUGAUGUGUAGUAAUCAUUUUGAUGCUGAUUGUUUCGUAAUGGAGUGGACAAAACCUAGAUUGAAAAAUGUACCUGCCAAAGAAGUGAAACGAUUAAAAAAAGAAUUCCAUUCCAACAAAAAUGUUUAAUCUUGAAAAGAAAAAUAAGAUAAUACCAGA